rnacentral:rRNA from 1 species
AUUGAACGCUGGCGGCAGGCUUAACACAUGCAAGUCGAGCGGGGGAAGGUAGCUUGCUACCGGACCUAGCGGCGGACGGGUGAGUAAUGCUUAGGAAUCUGCCUAUUAGUGGGGGACAACAUCUCGAAAGGGAUGCUAAUACCGCAUACGUCCUACGGGAGAAAGCAGGGGAUCUUCGGACCUUGCGCUAAUAGAUGAGCCUAAGUCGGAUUAGCUAGUUGGUGGGGUAAAGGCCUACCAAGGCGACGAUCUGUAGCGGGUCUGAGAGGAUGAUCAGCCACACUGGGACUGAGACACGGCCCAGACUCCUACGGGAGGCAGCAGUGGGGAAUAUUGGACAAUGGGGGGAACCCUGAUCCAGCCAUGCCGCGUGUGUGAAGAAGGCCUUAUGGUUGUAAGCACUUUAAGCGAGGAGGAGGCUACUCUAGUUAAUACCUAGGGAUAGUGGACGUUACUCGCAGAAUAAGCACCGGCUAACUCUGUGCCAGCCGCCGCAGUAA